GACGAACGCUGGCGGCGUGCCUAAUACAUGCAAGUUGAGCGCUGAAGGUUGGUACUUGUACCAACUGGAUGAGCAGCGAACGGGUGAGUAACGCGUGGGGAAUCUGCCUUUGAGCGGGGGACAACAUUUGGAAACGAAUGCUAAUACCGCAUAAAAACUUUAAACACAAGUUUUAAGUUUGAAAGAUGCAAUUGCAUCACUCAAAGAUGAUCCCGCGUUGUAUUAGCUAGUUGGUGAGGUAAAGGCUCACCAAGGCGAUGAUACAUAGCCGACCUGAGAGGGUGAUCGGCCACCUUGGGACUGAGACACGGCCCAAACUCCUACGGGAGGCAGCAGUAGGGAAUCUUCGGCAAUGGACGAAAGUCUUACCGAGCAACGCCGCGGGAGGGAAGAAGGUUUUCGGAUCGUAAAACUCUGUUGGUAGAGAAGAACGUUGGUGAGAGUGGAAAGCUCAUCAAGUGACGGUAACUACCCAGAAAGGGACGGCUAACUACGUG
rnacentral:rRNA from 1 species